CCUAGCCGUAAACAUUGGUAGUAUUUUACACCCACUACCCGCCUGGGAACUACGAGCAUCAGCUUGAAACCCAAAGGACUUGGCGGUGCUUUAGAUCCACCUAGAGGAGCCUGUUCUAGAACCGAUAACCCCCGUUCAACCUCACCUCCCCUUGUUUUCCCCGCCUAUAUACCGCCGUCGUCAGCUUACCCUGUGAAGGUUAAAUAGUAAGCAAAAUUGGUACAACCUAAAACGUCAGGUCGAGGUGUAGCGUAUGGGGAGGGAAGAAAUGGGCUACAUUUCCUAAUAGAGGAAACACGAACGAUAUGAUGAAAUGCACAUCUGAAGGAGGAUUUAGCAGUAAGCAGGAAAUAGAGCGUCCCGCUGAAACUGGCCCUGAAGCGCGCAC
rnacentral:rRNA from 1 species